UCCUGGCUCAGAAUAAACGCUGGCGGCGUGCCUAACACAUGCAAGUCGAACGAGAAAGCCGGAUUUCGGUCUGGCGAGUAAAGUGGCGCACGGGUGAGUAACGCGUAGGUAACCUGCCCCUGUGUUCGGGAUAACAGUGCGAAAGCGCUGCUAAUACCGGAUAUGGCGAGAAGAUGGUGGUUUUUUCGUCAAAGUCGGCCUCUCGACGAAGCCGGCGCACGGGGAUGGGCCUGCGUCCUAUCAGCUAGUUGGUAGGGUAACGGCCUACCAAGGCAACUACGGGUAGCUGGUCUGAGAGGAUGAUCAGCCACACUGGCACUGAAACACGGGCCAGACUCCUACGGGAGGCAGCAGUGAGGAAUUUUGCGCAAUGGCCGCAAGGCUGACGCAGCAACGCCGCGUGGGUGAAGAAGGCCUUCGGGUCGUAAAGCCCUGUCAGGUGGGAAGAACGCUUGGGGGGUUAAUAACUUUUCAAGGUGACGGUACCACCAGAGGAAGCACCGGCUAACUCCGUGCCAGCAGCCGCGGUAA
rnacentral:rRNA from 1 species